GGCUGGGUAGCUCAGGUGGUAGAGCAGAGGACUGAAAAUCCUCGUGUCCGGGGUUCGAGUCCCUGCCCAGCCACCA
rnacentral:tRNA from 1 species